GUUCAGAAUGUGGCAGCUGACUGACUCCCUGCGAUUGCCUGGACCUGAAGGUAGAACCUCCACCUGCACCUGCUGACAGAGCAAUUCCCAAGCAGGUCUGCUAUGCUUAGCCACACUGCUGGUCUGGUGUUUACCACAGCUGGGGCCCUGGGAUGCUUCUGGAGCUCCUGACUGCGUGAAUGUACCCACGAAUUAUCAGCUCUGGGAGAGUUUUGGGCAUGACACCCUCUCCAGCGUGAUCCCUGGUCUGGCACCAAGUAUAACCACAGUGUUAAGGCUAAAGGUUAAAAUUUAAUAUAGACCUGGAGAUUUCAGAACAUCACUAAGCACCUUUCUUUCUCCUGGCUGACAACAAGAGAUAAUCCUGCCUUUCUGCUGCAUCUGAAGCCAAAGCCAGCCAGGCAGACUCACUCACAGCAGCAGCAGUGGGGCUGAUGAUGCAGUGUGUCCUGCAGAUUAAAGUCUGAGGAGAUGCUUCUGCAGUCCUGUGCAACCAGACCUUGAACACACGUGAUUUUCACAAAUGGAUAUCACCCAUAAACAUUUCUGGCAGGGAGGGAAGGGAAAUUACUGGUCUGUAUGUGUUCCUAUUUAUUGUACCUCUGGUAAUUCACAUAAUGUUUGCCUACCAGUGUUCAUGGUGAGCUGUGGAUUGGGAUAAAUUUUAUAAUGUGGUGCCUCAGCUUGCUACAGAGCUUGGAAUUGCCUGUUGCUAAUGCUGCCUGAUAUAUUUUGUUCCCCAUGAGUUGUACAGAUUGUGCUUCCAUAAAGUUUUGAUGUUUCUUUUCUUCUGAAUUAAGCAUUGAUUUAUACAUGGCUUUCUCUACUUCCUAGUUUGAGAUGGUAGACUGUUGAUUAUUUCUGUUAUAAACAUUUCAAUAAAAUCUUUCUAUGUGUUGGCAUUUCCCCCUCAGCUGGGUUAGCAGUCAUAAAAUUGUUAUCCAGCACAGAACACUAUAAAAUUACAAAUCUCUACAAUGUAAUACUUAACAUGCUCAUGAUUGGAGCUGCCAAGUGCUAACAAUAAGUGGGAGUUUUGGUCACUUUUAUAAUUCGGAACAGUGUAGAAACAAAUAUCAGCAUGCACAUGAAAACUAGCUGGGUUAGUAAAAGGGUAUUUGGGUGUUAGCUACAAUUUGAAGGACAGGAGAAGGUAUAAUCUAGU